UUUAAAAUAAGCAAUUGGCAACGACGACCAAAUGUUUUAACAUCUGGAUUGACCGUGGUUGUUUUCAUGUCAAUAAGAUCCAAUAGAGUCAAAGUGCCCUAAAGAGUUGAAACAAGCCACUGGAUUACAUAUGUGGCCUACGCACCCCAUAUCCAUGAAAACAGGCCUUGCCACACAUUACCGGAUCUGAUCAAGAUAGACUGGGAAUCCAACGCUGAGAAAUACCAAGGGAGAUCCUACAGCGAUGAGCUCUGGGUGCUACUACGUACAGCAAUGAGAAAUACCCUAAUUUUCAAACCAGUACCAUUCAUAAACCCAACAACGGUUUCUGGAGUGCUUCUGAUGUCUAGAUUACCUGCGAUGAGCUCUGGGUGCUACUACAGCGAGAGUUUAGUAUAAAGUUUCUGGGCAGAAUUCACCUUAGAUUUGCGGGGUCCAAGUUCUUCAGAACCUCCUCAAUAAAAUGGCUCGAUGACAGGCUGAAAACAAGCACGGGAAUGCAAGAGAUCAUCAAGAUUUCAUCAUCAAGCAAUUAGCAUGGUAUAAUUUUCCAAAUUUGUGUAUGUGUUUAUUAGAAAAAUAUUCAAUUUCAAACCUUAUUAUGUUCACGAAUCAAGAUCAUAAAAGGAUUACAUGCACUUUGACCAUAUAUAUAGUUUAGAAUCAUCAUCAAUUUUAUUUUUUUUGCCAGAAAUAAAUAUGGCUACUUUUGAAUCCCGAACAUGAAGAACACGUAAGCAAUAUGUUAUACAAGCCAAUCCUUCUAAAUAUUUCAGCUUGCGACCUGGGGCCUCCUGUAUAUCUCACCAGUUCUAUUAAAAAAUAAAAGAUUCUUAAUGAUUUUUAUCCGUGAAAUUAGUUGAAGUAUAUAUUUAACAUAAUAUCUAUGUUAAUAAAAAAUAAUAAUUCAAAGAGCC
rnacentral:lncRNA from 1 species